rnacentral:rRNA from 1 species
AUUGAACGCUGGCGGCAGGCCUAACACAUGCAAGUCGAGCGAGAGGCGGACGGGUGAGUAAUGUAUGGGGACUGCCCGAUAGAGGGGGAUAACUACUGGAAACGGUGGCUAAUACCGCAUACUAUCGGAUAACCCAUAUGGGAUUAGCUAGUAGGGGGGGUAAAGGCUCACCUAGGCGACGAGCUCUAGCUGGUCUGAGAGGCGGAUCGGCCAACUGGGGAUUGGGACCGGGCCCGGCUCCCGCGGGAGGCAGCAGUGGGGAAUAUUGCACAAUGGGCGCAAGCCUGAUGCAGCCAUGCCGCGUGUGUGAAGAAGGCCUUAGGGUUGUAAAGUACUUUCAGUGGGGAGGCGUUACCCGCAGAAUAAGCACCGGCUAACUCCGUGCCAGCCGCCGCGGUAAUUC